GGCUUUAGCGUGGCCGAGUGGUCUAAGGCGCUGGUUUCAGGCAUAAGUCCUUCUGAGGGCGUGGGUUCAAAUCCCACCGCUGCCA